GACGAACGCUGGCGGCAUGCCUAAUACAUGCAAGUUGAACGAUGAUAUUCUCUGCUUGCAGAGAAUUGAAGAGUAGCGAACGGGUGAGUAACACGUGGGGAACCUGCCCAUGAGAGGGGGAUAACAUUCGGAAACGGAUGCUAAUACCGCAUAAUGCUUUGGACCGCCUGGUCCAGAGACGAAAGACGGCUUUUGCUGUCACUCAUGCAUGUCCCGGCGGCGGAUUAGCUAGUUGGUGAGGUAAUGGCUCACCAAAGCCGUGAUACGUAGCCGGCCUGAGAGGGUGAUCAGCCACACUGGAACUGAGACACGGCCCAGACUCCUACGGGAGGCAGCAGUAGGGAAUCUUCCACAAUGGGCGAAAGCCUGAUGGAGCAAUGCCGCGUGAAUGAAGAAGGUCUUCGGAUCGUAAAGUUCUGUUAUUAGGGAAGAACAAGUGCAGGAGUAACUGUCUUGGCUUUGACGGUACCUAAACAGAAAGUCACGGCUAACUACGUG
rnacentral:rRNA from 1 species